rnacentral:rRNA from 1 species
UUGACCUCAAAUCAGGUAGGACUACCCGCUGAACUUAAGCAUAUCAAUAAGCGGAGGAAAAGAAACUAACAAGGAUUCCCCUAGUAACUGCGAGUGAAGCGGGAAAAGCUCAAAUUUAAAAUCUGGUGGUCUUUGGCCAUCCGAGUUGUAAUCUAGAGAAGUGUUAUCCGCGCUGGCCCGUGUACAAGUCCCCUGGAAUGGGGC